rnacentral:rRNA from 1 species
AGUGAACGCUGGCGGCAGGCCUAACACAUGCAAGUCGAACGGCAGCACAGGAGAGCUUGCUCUCUGGGUGGCGAGUGGCGGACGGGUGAGGAAUACGUCGGAAUCUGCCUAUUUGUGGGGGAUAACGUAGGGAAACUUACGCUAAUACCGCAUACGACCUACGGGUGAAAGCGGAGGACCUUCGGGCUUCGCGCAGAUAGAUGAGCCGACGUCGGAUUAGCUAGUUGGCGGGGAAAGGCCCACCAAGGCGACGAUCCGUAGCUGGUCUGAGAGGAUGAUCAGCCACACUGGAACUGAGACACGGGUCCAGACUCCCACGGGAGGCAGCAGUGGGGAAUAUUGGACAAUGGCGCAAGCCUGAUCCAGCCAUGCCGCGUGUGU